rnacentral:rRNA from 1 species
ACGGAGGAUGCGAGCGUUAUCCGGAUUCAUUGGGUUUAAAGGGUGCGUAGGCGGACUAUUAAGUCAGUGGUGAAAUCCUGCAGCUCAACUGCAGAACUGCCAUUGAUACUGAUAGCCUUGAGUUUGGUUAAGGUAGGCGGAAUGCGUGGUGUAGCGGUGAAAUGCUUAGAGAUCACGCAGAACACCAAUUGCGUAGGCAGCUUACUGGGCGGACACUGACGCUGAGGCGCGAAAGCGUGGGGAUCAAACAG